rnacentral:rRNA from 1 species
CAGCAGCCGCGGUAAUACGGAGGGUGCAAGCGUUAAUCGGAAUUACUGGGCGUAAAGCGUGCGUAGGCGGUUCGUUAAGUCUGUUGUGAAAGCCCCGGGCUCAACCUGGGAAUGGCAAUGGAUACUGGCGAGCUAGAGUGUGUCAGAGGAUGGUGGAAUUCCCGGUGUAGCGGUGAAAUGCGUAGAGAUCGGGAGGAACAUCAGUGGCGAAGGCGGCCAUCUGGGACAACACUGACGCUGAGGCACGAAAGCGUGGGGAGCAAACAGGAUUAGAUACCCCCGUAGUCCCUGUCUCUUAUAA